UGAGGAAUAUUGGUCAAUGGGCGGGAGCCUGAACCAGCCAAGCCGCGUGAGGGAAGAAGGCCCUAUGGGUCGUAAACCUCUUUUGUCAGGGAACAAAAGCGAGUAUGUAUACUAGUCUGAGUGUACCUGAAGAAAAAGCAUCGGCUAACUCCGUGCCAGCAGCCGCGGUAAUACGGAGGAUGCGAGCGUUAUCCGGAUUUAUUGGGUUUAAAGGGUGCGUAGGCGGCGAUGCAAGUCAGCGGUAAAAGCCCGGGGCUCAACCCCGGCGAGCCGUUGAAACUGCAGUGCUAGAGAAGGCGAGAGGUACGCGGAAUGCGCAGUGUAGCGGUGAAAUGCUUAGAUAUCACGCAGAACUCCGAUUGCGAAGGCAGCAUACCGGCGCUCAACUGACGCUCAGGCACGAAAGCGUGGGUAUCGAACAGGAUUAGAUACC
rnacentral:rRNA from 1 species